AGGUCUUGAUCUCAAGGGGAGAUUAGGACCUUGUACCUGGAGAGGUUAGAAUACUUUGUGUACCUGGAGAAGUUAGAAUACUUGGUGUACCUGGAGAGGUUAGAAUGCUUGAUGUACCUAUAGAGGUUGGAAUACUUAGUGUACCUGGAGAGGUUGGAAUACUUAGUGUACUUGGAGAGGUUAGAAUACUUGGUGAACUUGCAAAGGUUGAAAAUACUGUGUGAAAACUUCUCUUCAAUUGGUGAGACUCUGAUUUAGAUGUGACUUGAGUCAUUCUUCAGCUUCAACCUGCUAAUGAAAAAGGAAAAACGCAAAUGAACAUAUUCAAUAUCAUCUUAUUAGAACCCCCUUUUUCCAAACAGCUCAUAAAUUGUAGACAAAUAUGUAUACGAAUUCUCAUGGUCCAUAUCAGUAAAUUGAUGAGUACGUAUCAAACUAAGGAAUGUUGGUUUCAUUGCCACUGUCUUAGUAGCACGAGGUAUUGCAAUGUUGGAAAAUUGUUGUAGUCCCUAUUGCAUAGCAUAAUCACCAAGUGUUCUUCUCAGUGACAAUUGUCUUUCUUCAACAAUGUUGUUUUCUUCUUGAAUUGGUUCAAUGUGAUUAGUAGACGUGGUUGAAAAUUCUUCAAUAGCUUCUCUUUGCUUUUCUUAAUUUUGUUCCUCCGAGUUGUCUUCUCAAUUUCUAAAUCUAAAUUUCUAAAUCCAAUUGCAGUUGAUCUCUAGAAACUUGUCCUCUUAAUAUCAUAUAUCAUAAACUAGCUCAUGCAAGGAUUAACACAAAAAUAAUAAUUUAAAAUACAGAAAAAAUAACUAAUUUUUAAAAAUAAAAGAAAAAAA
rnacentral:lncRNA from 1 species